rnacentral:lncRNA from 1 species
AGAGACCCAGAUUAGACUCCACUGGGCAAGAUUCAAAUCCUGGCUGUUAGGAACUUCAAGGCCAACUGGGAAAGGUAGUUUCAUUAUGUGGCUAAGCGCACAGGCUGGCUACUGGUAGAAAAGUCAUCCCUCUUGUCAGAGGAUUGGUUCCUGGAAUAAUAGGCUUUGUCUGUUCUCACUAAGCCCCUCCUGUGACUCUACACUGUCAGCGCUCUGUCAUCUAGAGCUCUGCUCUAGUCUUUAUAGAGUGAACUUUACUCCAGCUUGGUACUUUGAGUCUUGAAUCUUGAGCUCCUACCUUGACAUCCCUUGAGGAUGGACUGUGACCUGUAAACCAAAUAAACCCUUCCGUUCCAAGUUU